rnacentral:lncRNA from 1 species
UUCUUUGUAAGUAAAUAUAUGUAUAUGAUAGAAAAGGUUGAAACAUGAGUUUUUGGAGAUGUUUGUAAUAUUGUUAUGGAUUCAGUCUGUUGUCUUAUAUGGAAUAAUUAUUGAAUCGUAAAUUUCAUCCUGACUGAUUGUCCUGAUAUGUUGAUACAAAUAAUAUAUAAUAUAACAUACCUGAAUGAAAAUAUUAAUGUAGAACUUAGUUGCAUUCAAAGCAGAGAAAAGAUGUGAAUAGAUAAAUUUGAUAUGAAAUAUUUUUGUGUGAAAAUAUGUCAUAUUCAUGUAGUUGACACUUGUUGACACUUUCUAUAGUCACACUUUAUAAGUGGUAAAAGUAUACUUCUGUAUAAUGUAUAUAUUCUAUGAUGUUUAUAUAGUGUUUAGAGUGAAGAAAAAACAUAAAAUGUUAAUAAUUGAAAUCGAUACUUUGUAGGGGAUGGGAACAUUGUCCUGUCUAUUCCAGUUCCUUCCCAUUCAUGCCUAUCCUAAGCCAACCUGACCCGGUCCGUCCCAUUUCUGAUGGGUAAUUCAUGUAUGAUAGUACAAUUAAUAUAUAAUAUAGCAUAUUAGAAUUAAAAUAUUUAUGUUGAGCAUGGCCCAAGUAAAGGAAGAGAAAAUAUGUGUAUAAAUAGAAUAAUUAUGAAUAUGUUUUAUUUGUGCAAUUGACACUUACUAUGGUAACACUUUAUAAGAAGUGGUAAAAGUGCACUUCUUUAUAACUAGAUAUAUAUUUGAUAGAAAAGGUUAAUAAAAACAUUUGUUUUUUGAGCUGUUCAUAAUAUUAUUAUGGAAACAGUCUAUUACCUAAAGACAAAUGAUUAUUCAAUCUGGAACCACACUUGUAUGGGCAAAUGAAGGUUCAUGUACAGUUGUUGAAAGUUACAUUCUUGCUGUAUUUUGAGAAGUAUGGAAAAAGAAUUGUUUGAUAGGUAAAAUACUUUUCUGUGUUUCAGUCAUAUUUGCUGAUUUCGCUGACCAAUGUUGAAGCUGUGGAUUUUCCCAGAAGAAUGUUUUCAAGAAGAGACUGUAUUCAUUUGUAGUGUUUGAAGUGACAAAAGAAUAACAAAUUGAGACAGAAGACAAAAAGAUGUUGAAUGUGACAGCUGUAAAUGCUGGAAAUUUAAGUAGCAGGCUACAAGACUGAUUUCCAAACCAAAUGAUAGGCACUGAAACGCCUAUGGAUGAAGAAUCAGAAGGCUUAAUCAACAGAUGGUGAAAAUUGUCACAUGCUGUAAGAAAAAUGUCAGCUGGAAAGAUAUAAUCCCUCACACCACCAGUACCAACUCGGACAGAUGGUAUCUCAACAUAUAGUAGAUUCACGGUGAUACAUCAUAGAGCAGAUAUAGCUGGUCAAAUCAUACAAGAAUGUUGAGACAUGGAUAGUUGGUUUCCUGCGAAGAAGAAUGGAUGAUGUUACACCUGCAGCCAGAGAGUUCGGAGAAAGGGAUCAGCUCAAAGAACAUUGGAGGGGUCUGAUGACAAUAUUGAUAUAGGUUAUGAAGGUAAUCUACAACAUGAUUCUACAACUGCCAAUGAACUUCGGUAGAAGAGCUGGAGGGGAGUGCAGUGAGCAGAUUGCAGUACAGUCAACCCUGUCUAUAAAGACCACCCUUGGGAGAGCCAAAUGUGGUCUUUAUUGGGAGGUGGCCAUUAUUCACAGGUUAAGAUAUAUUGUAAAUGUUAAAAUGGGAAACAAAACAUGUGUUCUUUAGAGCCAGGUGGUCUCUGUUCAGAGGUGGUCUUUAACACGGGUUUGACUGUAUACACAUCAGUGGGAGUGGAACAGGCAGAUUGCAAUACAUACUACAUCAGUGGGAAAAGCACAUUGAAGUUCAGCUGUUUCCAGCUUGAAACACAUGCCAAUGUGGACAGCCUAGGAGGUCCUCAUCAAGUUGCAGUAGAUUCAUUGAAAAAAGAAAUGGAGUAAGCUGUACUUAUUGUGUUCUGCUACCUGUAAAGAAAUGGGGAAUCUUCAGACGCACAUAAUGACAUGGUCAACAUUAUGGAAGUUCAUGGAGUAUGCCCGUGGCCAGACUGAUCUUCAUCUCUUAGAGGUUGAAGUUGCAAGACUGAUGGAAAAUGACAGUGACUGGACAGACAAUGAUGAUGGUGAAGAACUAUAGAAAACUUCGGAAAACUUUUAAUAGUGGUCAUCAACAAGCAGUCAUUGAUUCCAGUAUUCCAGCCAAUGUAUCGAUCUCAUAGAGGUUGAAUGUUGCAAGACUGAUGGAAAAUGACAGUGACUGGACAGACAAUGAUGAUGGUGAAGAACUAUAGAAAACUUGGGAAAACUUUUAAUAGUGGCCAUCAACAAGCAGUCAUUGAUUUCAGUAUUCCAGCCGAUGUAUCCCUCUCAUAGGAUAACUUUAAAGCAGGACUUCACUGUCAUGUGGGGGGAAAAAACAUGAAAUGGAGACGAUCACUUACCAGCGCACACAGUUGACUUGAGAAGAAAUUUCUUAUCAGUCAGGAACUGGCCAAAAAGGAUGUUGAUACUGAUACAACUUCCUCGUAGCAACUUCAGUCCUACAGAUUUAUAAGGGGAGGCAACAAUUUUCACUAUUUACCUAGAAACCAUUGACCUAAUUCAAUAUGGGAAGAUGCCACAUGUCACACAAAGUCGCAUACCACAACAAAUCGCUGUAGCAUAGAUUAUCUAUGUCACACCUAAAAAGGAAAUUUCACCAAAGGCACAAAGAAUCACCAGGAUUGCAUGGAAUAUUCAGACACAAUGACCGAUAAAAAGCACAAUAGUCCAACAUCUGGAAUUAAGUCAACUGUAGAGAUAUUGUGUACUUGGCUUGAAAAGAUCCUAAAGUGAUUUUGGUAGCCUGUUAUGAAAGACAGUUUGAUUUUCCAGUUCUUGUCUCAGCUCUACUGUGCACAAAAAAAACUAGGACAUUAUUCAGCUGAGUUUCUUCUAAAAAGUAUUCUUUUACCAGUGUUAAAGAAACUGUACCCUAAACAGUCAUAUUUGCUAUGACACUAUUUGGUAUCCAGGUACAAUGCCUAUAACUGACAGACAGACAAAUUUACUAUGAAAAACUGGGAAGGCCUGCCAAGGGUUUUCAUAUGUUAAAGAAAAAUUACAAGCAAUGACGUAUACUCAUGAUAAAUUUGGUACCAUAAUGUUCAUUAUCUAAAGUAGAAAAUAACAAUUGUAAUUGGAAAUUCGAAUUGUGUUAUUUUACUCUAUAUUUAAGAAAAUUAAUAUAUUCAAACUUGUAAUUUUUUUCAUUUGUUAAAAUGUUAUAUUAUAGCUAUAAGCCUUAAUACGCUUUUUUCCAAUCUGCCUAAAGAAACACUUUAGUUGUUCUUGUUUAUUAUUUAGCCAUUUCCUUGAUUAAAAAUACACAACAAACUUCUAGCUCAAGACAUUCCAAGGUUGACAAGUUACUACUUUCUUUGAUUUUGCUUAAGUUUGUUAAUUAUUGUUAAAUACUUUUGUUCAAAAUUUAAUAUUUUUAUAAGGUGUAAAACCUUUAAAUAAUAUCCUUAAGCAACAGAUGUUAUCUUUUAAUAGUAAAGUAAAGAAAGGAGAAGAAAACCUUUACUGUAAGCUAAUAUAGCUUUCUGUCCAAUGCCUGAAAUGUUUUUAUGCCCCCAAAGGGAGGCAUAUUAGUUUUCAACUGUCCGUCCGUUCAUUGGUUCGUUAGUUGGUUCGUC